GCACCCGUAGCUCAGCGGAUAGAGCGUUGCCCUCCGAAGGCAAAGGUCAGGAGUUCGAAUCUCCUCGGGUGCACCA
rnacentral:tRNA from 1 species